GCCCCUGUAGCUCAGAAGGUAGAGCGGCUGUUAAUAAAUAAAUGUAAUCUGUUAAGUUUACUACAGCAAUAUAAUCCAACAGAAUGGCGCUGGUUCGAGUCCAGUCAGGGGCU
rnacentral:tRNA from 1 species